rnacentral:rRNA from 1 species
AAUUUUGGGCAAUGGGCGAAAGCCUGACCCAGCAACGCCGCGUGAGGGAUGAAGUAUUCCGGCAUGUGAACCUCGAAAGAAUGGGAAGAAUAAAUGACGGUACCAUUUAUAAGCUCCGGCUAACUACGUGCCAGCAGCCGAGGUAAUACGUAGGGAGCAAGCGUUGUUCGGAUUUACUGGGUGUAAAGGGCGCGCAGGCGGGAUAAAACGUCAGUGGUGAAAUCCUACAGCUUAACUGUAGAACUGCCUUUGAUACUUUUAUACUUGAGUUCGGGAGAGAGCGCCGGAAUUCCAGGGGUAGUGGUGAAAUACGUAGAUAUCUGGAAGAGCACCAGUUGCGAAGGCGGUCUCUUGGUCCGACACUGACGCUGAGGCGCGAAAGCGUGUGGAGCAAACA